rnacentral:rRNA from 1 species
GACGAACGCUGGCGGCGUGCUUAACACAUGCAAGUCGAACGGAAAGGCCCUGCUUUCGUGGGGUUCUCGAGUCGCGAACGGGAGUGAAACAUGUGAGUAACCCGCCCUUGAUUUUGGGAUAACUUCAGAAAUCUGUGGCUAACACCGGAUAGGAGCUCCUGCUGCUGGGGGGGGGUUGGAAAUUUCGGGCGGUUGGGGGUGGACUCGCGGCUUACCAGUUGGUUGGUGGGGUAGUGGCCUACCAAGGGAUGGAUGGCUAGCCGGCCUGGGAGGGCGACCGGCCACAUGGGGACUAAGAUACGGCCCAGACUCCUACGGGGGGCAGAGGGGGGAAGUAUGGCACAGUGGGGGGAAGCCUGUUAAGGCAACGCCGGGUGCGGAAUGACGGCCUUGGGGUUGUAAACCGCUUUCGCCUGUGACGAGGCGUGUGUGACGGUAACGAGAGAAGAAGCACCGGCUAACUACGUG